rnacentral:lncRNA from 1 species
GGAGAGAUUUGAUCUGCUCAAAGGUCAAUUGGGCCACAAAAUUAAUGAGCUUGAGAAAGACAGGACAAGAGAUGGGAGAGAAGAAAUCUGUGUGUUGAACUCUGCAUCAAUUAACAAAAGGUUGGCCAUGCAGAAAUCUAAUAAUGUCAAACCAUUGCCCUCAAGGAUGUGAUAAUAAUGACUUCUGCUUGGAGAUGGCAACCAGUUAAUGCAGUAUACUCAGGAGGGCUUUUGAAAGACUGCAUUGAAAAUGGAAGAAAUAACAAUUUUAAUGGUCAGAUGCCAAAAUAUUAAGGUAAAUAAGAGCUGACAUCUGCUAUGCAUCAUAUCCUGUGCGAGAUGCUAGGCUUUUUAAAUGUGUUAAUUCUAAUUAUUCCAUUAAUUUUGUAAAUUAAACGGGACUGUUUCCAUUUGUUGCU